rnacentral:rRNA from 1 species
UACGGGGGGAGCAAGCGUUGUUCGGAUUUACUGGGCGUAAAGGGCGCGUAGGCGGCCAGCACAAGUCAGUUGUGAAAUCUCCGAGCUUAACUCGGAAAGGUCAACUGAUACUGUGCGGCUAGAGUGCGGAAGGGGCAACUGGAAUUCUUGGUGUAGCGGUGAAAUGCGUAGAUAUCAAGAGGAACACCUGCGGCGAAGGCGACUACCUGGACCAGCACUGACACUGAGGCACGAAAGCGUGGGGAGCAAACAGG